rnacentral:rRNA from 1 species
AGGAAUCUGCCUAUUAGUGGGGGACAACAUUUCGAAAGGAAUGCUAAUGCCGCAUACGUCCUACGGGAGAAAGCAGGGGAUCUUCGGACCUUGCGCUAAUAGAUGAGCCUAAGUCGGAUUAGCUAGUUGGUGGGGUAAAGGCCUACCAAGGCGACGAUCUGUAGCGGGUCUGAGAGGAUGAUCCGCCACACUGGGACUGAGACACGGCCCAGACUCCUACGGGAGGCAGCAGUGGGGAAUAUUGGACAAUGGGCGCAAGCCUGAUCCAGCCAUGCCGCGUGUGUGAAGAAGGCCUUAUGGUUGUAAAGCACUUUAAGCGAGGAGGAGGCUACUGAAGUUAAUACCUUCAGAUAGUGGACGUUACUCGCAGAAUAAGCACCGGCUAACUCUGUGCCAGCAGCCGCGGUAAUACAGAGGGUGCGAGCGUUAAUCGGAUUUACUGGGCGUAAAGCGCGCGUAGGCGGCUAAUUAAGUCAAAUGUGAAAUCCCCGAGCUUAACUUGGGAAUUGCAUUCGAUACUGGUUAGCUAGAGUGUGGGAGAGGAUGGUAGAAUUCCAGGU